GACGAACGCUGGCGGCGUGCUUAACACAUGCAAGUCGAACGGAAAGGCCCUGCUUUUGUGGGGUGCUCGAGUGGCGAACGGGUGAGUAACACGUGAGUAACCUGCCCUUGACUUUGGGGUAACUUCACGAAACUGGGGCUAAUACCGGAUAGGAGCUCCUGCUCCAUGGUGGGGGUUGGAAAGUUUCGGCGGUUGGGGAUGGACUCGCGGCUUAUCCGCUUGUUGGUGGGGUAGUGGCUGACCAAGGCUUUGACGGGUAGCCGGCCUGGGAGGGUGACCGGCCACAUUGGGACUGAGAGACGGACCAGACUCCUACGGGAGGCAGUAGUGGGGAAUAUUGCACAAUGGGCGGAAGCGUGAUGCAGCAACGCCGGGUGCGGGAUGACGGCCUUCGGGUUGUAAACCGCUUUCGCCUGUGACGAAGCGUGAGUGACGGUAAUGGGUAAAGAAGCACCGGCUAACUACGUG
rnacentral:rRNA from 1 species